UCUUUACUGAUUAAUCACUCGAUCUCUCUUUAUCAUUCAUGGCGAUCACCUCCGACCCAGAAGUUGGCGUUAAACCUAAACCCGGCGACACCGAAGCGCAGAUCGAGGGCACGGCCGAUGCCGAAGACGGCGAAGAGGCGGACAACGACGAAACGGAGGAGGAGGAGGAGGAGGAGGAGGAAGAGCCCAGCGACUCCGGAAGGGAAAAGUUCAAUCGCGCCCUCAUCCGCCUCUCGGAAGGCCCCGUUCGUAUCCGCGUCCACGAUGUCAUCAUCAGGGGUAAUGGCAAGACCAAGAAGGCCCUUAUCGAAGCUGAGGUCCUCGACGCCUUCCGCUCAGCCUCCUCGAUGCAGGAACUCCUCCGGGCCGCAGGCCUCGCCAAUGCUCGACUGCGCCAGUUGGACAUCUUCGAAUCUGUAACCAUCGUGCUCGAUUCGGGAUCCUCUGAGCUUCCCAACACCGCUAAUGUCAUCAUAGAUAUUGUUGAAGUCAAGAAUCCGCUCUCUGGUGAUCUCGUAGUGUACACAAAGCCGGAGGCUCGAUAUCGGUCGUUUGAAGGAUCACUCAAGCUUAAAAACUUGUUUGGCUAUGGUGAUAUUUGGGAUGCUUCUGGCGCUUAUGAGUUUGAUGGAACAUCAGAGAUUAGUCUUGGAGUGUCAUUACCCAGAUUCAGAAUUAUUCCAGCUCCCCUCACAACUCGAGUUUUAUUACUCUCCCAAGAUUGGUUGAAAUUUUCAUCAUACAAGGAACAUCUACUAGGUCUCUCUGUUGGAUUGAUUUCAACUAGAAAACAUGAACUCACUUACAACCUUACAUGGUGUAGCUUACUUGACCCAUCAAGCAUACCAUCCAAGUCAAUACGCAGCCAGUUGGGACAUAGUCUACUCUCUUCAAUAAGAUACUCAUGCAAAAUUGAUCACAGGGAUUCAAAAGUGAGGCCGACACGUGGAUAUGCAUUUUCAUCAACAUCUCAAAUUGCAGGUCUUGGACCUGACAAUAGACUGAUACAAUUUUUUAGGCAGCAGGAUUUUGAUCUGAGAGGGGCGAUUCCUUUAGGAUUUUACAAUGCUGCUCUCAACUUUGGAGUUACAGCAGGUGCUGUAAUGCCAUGGGCUGGAUUUACAAAUUCAAGCACACCAAUGUGUGAGCGAUUCUACAUGGGUAGUCAUUCUUCUCCUGUUUGCAAACUAGGCAGGCCUGCUUCUUUGUUCAGUUUCAAACAAAGAGGUCUCGGUCCAACUGAUAUGCAAAGAGUAAUUUCUUCAAAACGAAUUGAAGAUAAAGAUGCAACAUCUUCGGGAAGGGAUGCUUCAGGAAGCAUUGCCUCUCAAAAUAGAGAUGCUGUUGGAGAUUUUUGGAUACAUUCAGGAGCUCUGCUGGGGUUGGCAUUGUCAUCCCAACCAGAUUAUUUCGCAUGGAGAUCAACUACUGUUAUCUAUUGAAACAGUCCCAACAUGAUCAUGGGAAGACAGGCAUACAGUUCAGUUUCUCCACUUCAUAGAUUUGCAUUAGCAGAUGAAGUCAAUUCACCUUUCCCAGCCUGAAUUAAUCUGUCCUCCCUUUGAUUGUUUAUUGUUUGUUUUUAUCGAGGUCAGAAACUUACGUGCAGAAGCAAGAAGGAAAAGGGCGUGGUUGUCAAAUAAGCUUAACAUUAAGAUAUCUCUUACUAUUUCAACAGGUUACUUGUAUCACUUCAAUAAUCUUGUGCUUUGGAUCCUCUCAAUUUGAAGUGGAUCUACCAAAUGGUUUUUAACUAAAGUUUGAACCACCACAUUGAACAGUGGCUUGUUCUAACAUACAUGAUUAUAAUUACAUGCUUCCUCGAAGCAAAUCUGGUGAGCUUAAUUAAGUAGUUACACAGAUCUGGAUUGGAAACUUCCAUUCAUCUAGCAGAUGAUUGAAGCAACAGUUACAUAUACAAGCUUGUAGGUCGUCAUCUAAAAUUUUGUUUGUUUCCUUUCUGGAGAGCAAGCUGCCAAAAGGAGUUUACUGAAAAUCUGAUUAAUGUGUUUUUUACGUAAUCAUUGAUUCAGUGGAUUCUGAUAUUAAACCUUCCAACCUUUUAAUUGCACAGUGAUCCUCAAAAGUCCAACCUUAUCUGCAGUGCAGUCCACAUUCUGUCUUCUGUCCGUUAUGGGCUGAUCCAUCAACGUAAUUUGCCUUGCAGUCAAUAACAGUAAGUCAGACUUUUAGCUAAAUUGUCUUAUUCGUAAGAGUAUUCUCAUUUGAUUAUUUCUCUGUUGUUUGUCAAGUCAAAAGUUGAUUUGUCAUAUCCAUCCAUGUGCCUUCUUUGAUUACUUCCCUGUAGUUUCUCCUGAUCA